rnacentral:rRNA from 1 species
AACGAACGCUGGCGGCAUGCCUAACACAUGCAAGUCGAACGAGACCUUCGGGUCUAGUGGCGCACGGGUGCGUAACGCGUGGGAACCUGCCCUUAGGUUCGGAAUAACUCCCCGAAAGGGGUGCUAAUACCGGAUAAUGUCUUCGGACCAAAGAUUUAUCGCCUUUGGAUGGGCCCGCGUUGGAUUAGCUAGUUGGUAGGGUAAAAGCCUACCAAGGCGACGAUCCAUAGCUGGUCUGAGAGGAUGAUCAGCCACACUGGGACUGAGACACGGCCCAGACUCCGACGGGAGGCAGCAGUGGGGAAGAUUGGACAAUGGGCGAAAGCCUGAGCCAGCAAUGCCGCGUGAGUGAUGAAGGCCUUAGGGUUGUAAAGCUCUUUUACCCGGGAUGAUAAUGACAGUACCGGGAGAAUAAGCUCCGGCUAACUCCGU